AACAAGAAUUUUCACUUCUCUGUUUUUGUUCUCGGGGCAUGCGAGUCAGUGCGUGUUUCUUUUGUAGAUUUAUUUUACUUCAGUAAAAUGUAUCAGCUGUGAGCAUUCUGGCAAAUUCAGGGAAACACUUCGUAUGGGCAUUUACAGGAGGGACAGAGGAUUUGUGCUGUGUCUGGUCUGAAGUAGAAAGCAUCAAGAUUUUCUUUUUCUCCCCUGACCUACGGUCUCUCAAGCGCCCUAUGAUGCAUCAUCUGCUGCCUAUAAAGAAAGAAUGCCAGGAAGGAAACAUUUAUCUGAACAGUUUACAAGAAGACCCCAGUGGAGUUCAAUUUGAGUUUUGGCUAAAGGCCUGGAGAGGAGAUCAGAUGAUCUAG
rnacentral:lncRNA from 1 species